AGAGUUUGAUCCUGGCUCAGGACGAACGCUGGCGGCGUGCCUAACACAUGCAAGUCGCACGAGAAAGGGCUUCGGCCCCGGUAAAGUGGCGCACGGGUGAGUAACACGUGGGUAAUCUGCCCUCGAGCAGGGGAUAACAUUCCGAAAGGAGUGCUAAUACCGUAUAAGACCACGAUCUCGAAAGAGAAUGCGGUCAAAGCUGGCCUCUAUACAUAAGCUAGCACUUGAGGAUGAGCCCGCGGCGCAUCAGCUAGUUGGUGAGGUAAUGGCUCACCAAGGCUAAGACGCGUAGCUGGUCUGAGAGGAUGAUCAGCCACACUGGAACUGAGACACGGUCCAGACUCCUACGGGAGGCAGCAGUGGGGAAUAUUGGACAAUGGGCGCAAGCCUGAUCCAGCCACGCCGCGUGAGUGAUGAAGGCCUUCGGGUCGUAAAGCUCUGUGGGGAGGGACGAACCGCUGUUGGUUCAUAGCCAACAGCAUGACGGUACCUCCUUAGCAAGCACCGGCUAACUUCGUGCCAGCCGCCGCGGUAAUUC
rnacentral:rRNA from 1 species